rnacentral:rRNA from 1 species
UACGUAGGGUCCGAGCGUUGUCCGGAAUUAUUGGGCGUAAAGAGCUCGUAGGCGGUGUGUCGCGUCGGCCGUGAAAACCUGCAGCUUAACUGUGGGCUUGCGGUCGAUACGGGCAUCACUGGAGUUCGGCAGGGGAGACUGGAAUUCCUGGUGUAGCGGUGGAAUGCGCAGAUAUCAGGAGGAACACCGAUGGCGAAGGCAGGUCACUGGGCCGCAACUGACGCUGAGGAGCGAAAGCAUGGGGAGCGAACAGG